GGGCAUGGAGGCACUCUGACCCAGCCAUGCGCGUGCAGGAAGACUGCCCUAUGGGUUGUAAACUGCUUUUAUACAGGAAGAAACACUGCUACGUGUAGCAGCUUGACGGUACUGUAAGAAUAAGGAUCGGCUAACUCCGUGCCAGCAGCCGCGGUAAUACGGAGGAUCCAAGCGUUAUCCGGAAUCAUUGGGUUUAAAGGGUCCGUAGGUGGAUAAUUAAGUCAGAGGUGAAAUCCUGCAGCUCAACUGUAGAAUUGCCUUUGAUACUGGUUAUCUUGAGUUAUUAUGAAGUAGUUAGAAUAUGUAGUGUAGCGGUGAAAUGCAUAGAUAUUACAUAGAAUACCAAUUGCGAAGGCAGAUUACUAAUAAUCAACUGACACUGAUGGACGAAAGCGUGGGGAGCGAACAGGAUUAGCAUACCCUGGUAGUCCACGCCGUAAACGCAUGGCAUACUAGCUGUUCGCACUUCGGUUUGAGUGGUCUAAGCGAAAG
rnacentral:rRNA from 1 species